AAUUUUGGACGAUGGGGGCAACCCUGAUACAGCCAUCCCGAGUUUGCGAUGCAGGCCUUAGGGAUGUAAAGCACUGUUGACUGGGAAGUAAAGGCUCUGGCUAAUACCUGGAGCUGCUGACAGUACUCGCAGAAUAAGGACCGGGUACCUACGUACAAGCAGCCGCGGUAAUACGUAGGGUGCAAGCGUUAAUCGGAAUUACUGGGCUUAAAGCUUCCGCCGGCGGUUCGGCAAGAAGGAUAUGAAACCCCAGAGCUUAACUUUGGAACUGCACUUUUAACUGCCAGGCUAGAGUAUGUCAGAGGGGCGUAGAAUUCCGCGUGUAGCAGUGAAAUGCGUAGAGAUGCGAAGGAAUACCAAUGGCGAAGGCAGCCCCCUGGGAUAAUACUGACGCUCAUGCACGAUAGCGUGCGGAGCAAAC
rnacentral:rRNA from 1 species